rnacentral:lncRNA from 1 species
AUAAGAAACUUAGCAAAAAAAUUAUAUCAAUAAUUAACUCAAUAUUUUUUAUUUUUUUUAAAGAUAAAAGAAAAAAUUGAACUAGAUAUGAACAACAAAAGAAAAAAAGGAAGGAGUGGAGGCACAAGGAACUAAGUGGUGCGACACAGAAUUGGAAACGUUUGUCAACAUUCAACACCUGGAACUUCAGUGGCUCGCUAAUGGCUUUAUGGUCAGCUUCGGUCCCGCUAUCAUUCUCACCUGAAACUCUGGUCUCGUCCCUCCUCUAUUGUCGAUAACCGCGAAAUUGUUCAUCUCCGCUAAUGGUCUCUGAUUCUAACUAAGAUCCAUCGCACGCACGGCCUCUACUAUAGAUCAAGUUCUCUAAUUCCACCUCUCUCUCUCUAUGUGUUUCAAUUUGUGUUUUCUAAAUAUUGGUUGAUUUGAACUUCAGAUGUGUGAGAGCACAGAUCUAGAUAAAGAAAAGAGAAUUUGAAAAAUGAGAUAGAGAGGAUGAAGUGAAGAUGGCAUGGCGGUGGUAGAUGCAAUAGUGGCGGAGGAAGCAAGAGAGAAAAUCAUUAGUAGCAGAAGAGGG